rnacentral:rRNA from 1 species
UACGUAGGGGGCAAGCGUUGUCCGGAAUCAUUGGGCGUAAAGAGCGUGUAGGCGGCUUGGCAAGUCUGGUGUGAAAUCUUGCGGCUCAACCGCAAGCGGUCACUGGAAACUGCCUCGCUAGAGUCCGGAAGAGGAGAGCGGAAUUCCUGGUGUAGCGGUGGAAUGCGCAGAUAUCAGGAAGAACACCCGUGGCGAAGGCGGUUCUCUGGGCCUUACCUGACGCUGGAGGAGCGAAAGCGUGGGGAGCGAACAGG